UAGCUAUUGAUGGUAGAAAUUCUAGAACUCCACUGUUGGGAAGAGCCUCAGGGCUUUGGAUUUCAGAGCUAGAAGCAGCCAGUCCGGGAUAUCCCGGAUCGCUGCUUCGUCUCAGCCUCCCCUGGAACCCUUCCAGUGAUGGAGAGCUCACCCCUUUGUGAGGAAGCCUGCUCCACUUCCACUCAGCCAAGGCUACACACACUUCGUGAACGGCGGGACCUCCUACCCUGUAAGUUGCCACCCCCUCCCCCGACUGCCCCUGUUGGGAGGGAGAAGCCGCUCCGGCAGCAGAGGUGAAGACGGCUUUGGCUUCGUAGAGCAGCCGGGCCCGCGCGACAAAGCCGAGUCUGUCUGGUACCGGCUCCAGCUGUGAGUCACUGGCUAUCCUUAUUUCAAGGGCAGCACUGCGCCUUGAGAGCUCCUGUUCCCUGGCCGAUGAAGCAGCUGCAAGAAACAUGAUCUAGGCAUCCAGAGGCCCGUGCAAAAUGCAAGACCGAGCUGAGCGUCCUACGGGAAGCUGAGUGAGGGCUUGGCAGGGUCUCCAUCAGAACUUACAACUUGUGCAGUGUCCCAGUGGAGGACCUGGGGUGAGCCCUGUGGAGCCCAGAAUGUUCCGGGGAAGGCAUUGAAUGCAGUGGAUGUCAAGGGGAAGACUGAGCUCGCCACUCUCCUGCCUGGUUUGGCCAAAGACCCCACUCCCAGCUGCUGUGAUGGACCUUCUGGGCUUCCAUCGUCAGAAAGGGGCAGCCCUGGGCCCAGAGAGCUGGACUGGAGUCAUGGCCCCACCACUGAGCAGCUGUGGCCUUGGAAAUAUUACGUGGCCUCCCUGUGCCUUAGACUUCUCUUGGGAAAGGUAAGAGCACGGGUAGCUCCUAUCUCCUCAGGUCUGUGAGGGUGGAAUGAGACACUGCAGAGCUUUCUGUAUAGUAGGCACUAUACAGAAGUACGGCGAGUGUCAGUGUUUUGCUUUUAAAUUUGGAACCACUGAGAGAAAGUCUAAGACUUAGGGAGUAUCCAAGAUGGCGACACAGGAAGACCCUGAACUCACCUCCUCCCAUAGACACACUGAAUCCACACCUACCUAUAGGGCAAUUCCUCCUGAAGAAAAACUGAGGGCUGACUGAACAGCUUCUGCACAACGGAGGACAGAGGGACCACACAGAACGGCAGGAGAGACGGAGAACGGGAACAAUGGGAACCCCAGCCUCUACUCUGAAAGCCACAGUGGGGAGGGACCCCUAAAGGACCUGCCUGCAGAUUCGCCCGCCCUGAGACACAGCAAAAAAUAGUGGCAGCUUAAGGGGCAAUGAGACUAGAAGGGAAGGAAACCCAUUCACUAACUCUAGGGUGUCCACCAAGUGGGGGACUGCUGGAACUCCGAGUCAGAGGGGCUUAUAAAUGCCACUGUUUACAUUCCCCCUCCACCUCCAUAGCACAGACAGCAGCAGGGUCUGGGUGCCUUAGUCAGCCUGUUGCUUCAGUGAGACCCAGGCCCCCGGUCCACACCAGCUCCAGCUAAUCCCCUAGCCGCGCCCGCCCCCCCAAACCGACCUGUACCUGCCUGAGCUCUAGCCAUCCCACCAGUGCAGCCCCAGCAUGGUACACUCUGGAACACCACCCCCCAGUGCCUACUUCAGCUCCAGCCAUCCCGCCAGGGUGCCCCCUGUACAGAGCACCUGGGGACACUCUGGCCCACACCUGCUUCAGUUUCAGCCAUGUCACCACAGUGGCCCCAGCGUGGAGUGCCCCAGGACUCCCGGCUCAUGUAGACAGCCAGGCAAAGCCAGCGGGCACAUGCAGUCUACACAGGGACUAUUUCUAUACAAGGCCACUCCUUCAAGACUGGAAGGGGUAGUUAUUUUGCCCGAUUCAUGGAAACAAACACAGAAAGUCAAACAAAAUGAGGAGACAGAGGAAAAUGCCCCAAAGGAAAUAAGGCAAAACUCCAGAAGAUGAACCAAAUGAAAUAGAGAUAAGCAAUGUACUUGAUAAAGAGUUCAAAGUAACGGUCGUAAAGAUGCUCACUGGACUCGAGAGAGGAGGGGAAGAACCCAGUGAGAACUUCAAAAAACAGAUGGAAAAUAUGAAAAAGAAGCAUCAGGGUUUAAGAAUAUAAUAAAUGAAAAAAUACAAGAAAUCAGUAGUAGAUUAGAGAAUGCAGAAGAAUGGGUCAGUGAUCUGGAACACAGAGUAAUAGAAAACACCCAAGCUGAACAGCAAAAAAGAAAAAGAAUUUUAAAUUUAAAAACUGAGCAUAGGUGGGGGCACUGGGUGGCUCAGUCGGUUAAGAGUCUGACUUUGGCUCAGGUCA